ACACUAGAUCCACGUAUCGGAAACAAAAGAAAAAUACAAUAAAAAAGGUUAACGAGCUUAGAUUAGGGUAAAAAGGGAACAUUAUUGCUGAUUAUAAUUGUGCUAGCAUUGAAAGUAGAUCACCAAGAACCGUCACAUGGUCAAUGAUUUGUUGUACCUACGUCUAGGUAGACAACAAGAUCUCUCAUAAAAAAUAAUAUGGAGUCAAUUCAGACAGUCCACGCAGACACUAUAAGAAAGGUGCAGCCCACGUUCAAUAAUUGCCUGAACAUGAAUAUUUUAGCUCCAAGUGAUUGGCUUGAUGUUUCAAUGAAUUUUGGUAGAUGUCACAUCCACCAAAUUAGCUAUCUUGUCAAUGUCAUGAAUAGGGCCAAAAGAAGAACAUCAACCAUGCCGACUAAUGUUUUCCGGGCUCAUUAUACGGCUUAACGUAAUCAAUUUGAAAGGUUGAGCCACUACUGAUUUCAAUAUUGAUUGAAGGUGAGUGGAAUGGAUGUAGAUAUCUGUUGUGAUGUGAUAAAAUAAAUUAUUGAAGCCGUCUAUGUCAAUGGAAAAAAGCAAAUAUACUUUCCCCAUUAAUGUCAAGCUCUUGACAAUUUUGUACUUUCAAUAAUCUAAUCUCAUCAAUAAAUUUUCAGGCACACACAUUAAUUUUAGAGAACUCUCCAGGGUUAUGUAGUAUAAACUUCUAACUAAAUCCCCGUCACGAAUGGUAGAGAAUUGUCGUAAAUUAAAGUUUGUAUUGCUCAAUGGAUCAUUCCUCGAAUGAAGUGUCUCUUCUCAAGGCAAGUUUCGAAAAUCACAAUUCAUUUGUUGAGUAAUACUAUAUAUGAAUGUCGCGUGAUAUAAAUGAGUUUAAACGGAGAAAUCAAAGACUUACAAACAUCGGCCAAACGUCAAAACUAAAAUGCCUAGAGAAAACAAAAAAAGAUAAAGGAAGUGAUCAAUGCGAUGUCAAUUAAAAAGACAUCUAUGUGUAUAGAGUGAGAGGAGUCGGGUUAGCAUACCAAG
rnacentral:lncRNA from 1 species